rnacentral:rRNA from 1 species
CUAAGAAUCUUCCGCAAUGGGCGAAAGCCUGACGGAGCGACGCCGCGUGGACGAAGAAGGCCGGAAGGUUGUAAAGUCCUUUUCUCGAGGGAGAAUAAGGCAGGCAGGAAAUGGUCUGCUGAUGACGUGAAUCGAGGAAUAAGCCCCGGCUAAUUACGUGCCAGCAGCCGCGGUAACACGUAAGGGGCGAGCGUGGUUCGGAAUUAUUGGGCGUAAAGGGCGCGCAGGCGGCCAUGUAAGGCUGGUGUGAAAGGUCACGGCUUAACCGUGGGGACGCACUGGAAACUAUGUGGCUUGAGUCCAAGAGGGGGAGCUGGAAUUCCAGGUGUAGGGGUGAAAUCUGUAGAUAUCUGGAAGAACACCGGAGGCGAAGGCGAGCUCCUGGCUAUGGACUGACGCUGAGGCGCGAAAGCGUGGGGAGCAAACA